rnacentral:rRNA from 1 species
UACGAAGGGGGCUAGCGUUGCUCGGAAUCACUGGGCGUAAAGGGUGCGUAGGCGGGUCUUUUAAGUCAGGGGUGAAAUCCUGGAGCUCAACUCCAGAACUGCCUUUGAUACUGAAGAUCUUGAGUUCGGGAGAGGUGAGUGGAACUGCGAGUGUAGAGGUGAAAUUCGUAGAUAUUCGCAAGAACACCAGUGGCGAAGGCGGCCCCCUGGGCCGCGCCUGACGCUGAGACGCGAAAGCGCGGGGAGCGAACGGG